AUUCUGAGAGGCUGGAUCACCUGGGCUACUUGUCUUUAUUGAUAUUUGAUCCCUUUUUUCUGAAAACAUAUAAACUUUUAAAGGAAGAUCUUUAUACACUUCAGUGGGUCUUUACAACUACAUUUGCAUCUACUGGAGUAAAGUUCUGGCCUGAAGGAUUUCUUUGAUUUCAGAUAUUCUCAAACUGAGUUACUCUUGGACAAUAUCUCCUGAGCCACUAGCAGCGACAACAGAUUGCACUUAGGUUUCUAACAGGUAGAAUUUUGUCUGGAGGUGUCAGUAGUGCUCAAGGAUCAAGCCUAGAACAUCCAUCAUGAUGACUGACCUUGCUUUCACCCUAGAGGAAAAGCUCUCGACAUGAUGGAGUUUUACAAAGAAACCAUUAGGAGCAGACACUGUGAAGUAGACUUGGAUGGAAGCCUUGCCAUUCUAUUCUCUGAAGCAGCUCAUUUCACUUUUGCUGAAGAACAAGUUUUGCAAAAUGAUGGAAAAGCAGUUAUCCAAGACCCACUAAGAUCCUGUUAACCAGACAUCUACAGAAAUGAGAUAAAAAAAAACAACAACAACAUCAUACUCCUAUACAAGAUGGGACUAGAACAUGCUUCAAGUUCAUGACUGAAAAAUCCCUAAAAGUCUACAUAACCAAUUUUCUGAUAGAAUUUAAGUUCCGCCUCACCAAAUGAAACCCAUGCCUGGCACCAUUAUCAAGCUAAAAGCCUAUGGCUACACAGUAAUGAUGUCUAGGGGAGAACCUACUACUAUGCUGCUAAAAGGACAUAGUAUAAAACUGACUGGUAAUGACUUAUUGUUAUUUCCAAAGAUCAAUGCAUCUCUCAUCCCUCACCUAACAAGCCACAUCUGUAGUAGGUGGUAAAUUAUACAAUAACCCAAAACUGAGCCAAGUACACAGAACAAGAGACUACAGGAUGCUCCAUCCUAAACAGAACACAUAUACCACAUGCCACCCCAAGGCUCGGGGACCAAUGGGUAAGAGGGGCAAAUGGAGAGUCAGAGCCCAAGGCAGUGGAUGUCUACAAGGAAAUAUUAUUAAAUAUUAUUGUGUGAACAUAA